AGCAGCAGUGGCGUAGUGGUUAAGAGCAGGUGCACUCUGAUCUGGAGGAACUGGGUUCGAUUCCCAGCUCUGCCG
rnacentral:tRNA from 1 species